rnacentral:rRNA from 1 species
UACACUCCUACGGGAGGCAGCAGUGGGGAAUUUUGGACAAUGGGCGAAAGCCUGAUCCAGCCAUGCCGCGUGCAGGAUGAAGGCCUUCGGGUUGUAAACUGCUUUUGUACGGAACGAAACGGCCUUUUCUAAUAAAGAGGGCUAAUGACGGUACCGUAAGAAUAAGCACCGGCUAACUACGUGCCAGCAGCCGCGGUAAUACGUAGGGUGCAAGCGUUAAUCGGAAUUACUGGGCGUAAAGCGUGCGCAGGCGGUUAUGUAAGACAGUUGUGAAAUCCCCGGGCUCAACCUGGGAACUGCAUCUGUGACUGCAUAGCUAGAGUACGGUAGAGGGGGAUGGAAUUCCGCGUGUAGCAGUGAAAUGCGUAGAUAUGCGGAGGAACACCGAUGGCGAAGGCAAUCCCCUGGACCUGUACUGACGCUCAUGCACGAAAGCGUGGGGAGCAAACAGGAUUAGAUACCCCUGUAGUCCCAUGAU